GAUCAUGGCUCAGGAUGAACGCUAGCGGCAGGCUUAACACAUGCAAGUCGAGGGGCAGCAUAAUGGUAGUAAUACUAUUGAUGGCGACCGGCGGACGGGUGCGUAACGUGUAUGCAACCUACCCUUUACAGGGGGAUAACACUGAGAAAUCGGUACUAAUACCCCAUAAUAUUCUGGGAGGCAUCUUUCGGAGUUGAAAGCUUUGGUGGUAAAGGAUGGGCAUGAGUUGUAUUAGCUAGUUGG
rnacentral:rRNA from 1 species